AACGUAGGAGACAAACGUUAUCCGGAGUUACUGGGCGUAAAGGGCGUGUAGGUGGUUGCGUAAGUCUGGCGUGAAAUUUUUCGGCUUAACCGGGAAAGGUCGUCGGAUACUGCGUAACUAGAGGACGGUAGAGGCGUGUGGAAUUCCGCGUGUAGCAGUGAAAUGCGUAGAGAUGCGGAGGAACACCGAUGGCGAAGGCAGCCCCCUGGGCUGACACUGACGCUCAGGCACGAAAGCGUGGGGAGCAAACAGG
rnacentral:rRNA from 1 species